GACGAACGCUGGCGGCGUGCUUAACACAUGCAUGUCGAACGGAAAGGCCCAGCUUGCUGGGUGCUCGAGUGGCGAACGGGUGAGUAACACGUGGGUGAUCUGCCCCUAACUUCGGGAUAAGCUUGGGAAACUGGGUCUAAUACCGGAUAGGACAAUCGUUUAGUGUCGGUUGUGGAAAGUUUUUUCGGUUAGGGAUGAGCCCGCGGCCUAUCAGCUUGUUGGUGGGGUAAUGGCCUACCAAGGCGUCGACGGGUAGCCGGCCUGAGAGGGUGGGCGGCCACAUUGGGACUGAGAUACGGCCCAGACUCCUACGGGAGGCAGCAGUGGGGAAUAUUGCACAAUGGGCGCAAGCCUGAUGCAGCGACGCCGCGUGGGGGAUGACGGCCUUCGGGUUGUAAACCUCUUUCGACAGGGACGAAGCUUUGGUGACGGUACCUGUAUAAGAAGCACCGGCUAACUACGUG
rnacentral:rRNA from 1 species